rnacentral:rRNA from 1 species
AUUGAACGCUGGCGGCAGGCCUAACACAUGCAAGUCGAACGAGUGGCGGACGGGUGAGUAAUGUCUGGGAAACUGCCCGAUGGAGGGGGAUAACUACUGGAAACGGUAGCUAAUACCGCAUACCAUCGGAUGUGCCCAGAUGGGAUUAGCUAGUAGGUGGGGUAACGGCUCACCUAGGCGACGAUCCCUAGCUGGUAUGAGAGGAUGACCAGCAACACUGGAACGGAGACACGGUCCAGACUCCUAUGGGAGGCAGCAGUGGGGAAUAUUGCACAAUGGGCUCAAGCCUGAUGCAGCCAUGCCGCGUGUAUGAAGAAGGCCUUCGGGUUGUAAAGUAAUUUCAGCGAGGAGGCGGUACUCGCAGAAGAAGCACCGGCUAACUCCGUGCCAGCCGCCGCGGUAAUUC